GAUGAACGCUGGCGGCGUGCCUAAUACAUGCAAGUCGAGCGAACAGACGAGGAGCUUGCUCCUUCGACGUUAGCGGCGGACGGGUGAGUAACACGUAGGUAACCUACCUAUAAGACUGGGAUAACUUCGGGAAACCGGAGCUAAUACCGGAUAAUAUUUCGAACCGCAUGGUUCGAUAGUGAAAGAUGGCUUUGCUAUCACUUAUAGAUGGACCUGCGCCGUAUUAGCUAGUUGGUAAGGUAACGGCUUACCAAGGCAACGAUACGUAGCCGACCUGAGAGGGUGAUCGGCCACACUGGAACUGAGACACGGUCCAGACUCCUACGGGAGGCAGCAGUAGGGAAUCUUCCGCAAUGGCGAAAGCCUGACGGAGCAACGCCGCGUGAGUGAUGAAGGUCUUCGGAUCGUAAAACUCUGUUAUUAGGGAAGAACAAACGUGUAAGUAACUGUGCACGUCUUGACGGUACCUAAUCAGAAAGCCACGGCUAACUACGUG
rnacentral:rRNA from 1 species